rnacentral:sRNA from 1 species
GGAGACUGAGCCCCUGGAUGGUGAUGAGGUAGCUGACCCAGGCGGCUCUGAGGAGGAGAACGGCCUAGAAGACACUGAACCUCCAGUGCAGACAGCCGUCCUGACAGCUUCAGCCCCAGCAGCUCAGGCCGGAGCAUCUCAGGGGCUACACGCUUUGCUGGAGGAACGGAUUCACAACUACCGAGAGGCUGCGGCCAGUGCCAAGGAGGCAGGCGAAGCAGCCAAAGCCAGGCGCUGCGAGCGCGGCCUGAAGACCUUGGAGUCGCAGCUAGCCUCUGUGAGGAGAGGCAGAAAGAUCAAUGAGGAUGAGAUCCCACCUCCAGUGGCCUUAGGAAAGCGGCCCCUGGCCCCCCAGGAACCAGCCAACAGGAGCCCUGAGACAGACCCUCCAGCUCCCCCUGCCUUGGAGUCAGCCCGUUUCAGACUUAGACCCAGACCCGCGGGCCCUGCUGUCAUCCCGACAGAGAGAGUACAAAGUGGCUGCCCUCAGUGCCAAGCGGGCUGGAGAGCUAGACCGUGCCCGAGAGCUCAUGAGGAUUGGGAAGAGAUUCGGUGCUGUCCUGGAGGCCCUGGAGAAGGGGCAGCCCGUGGAUCUGAGUGCCAUGCCCCCGGCACCUGAGGAUCUGAAGCCCCAGCAGGCUUCUCAGGCCCCCACAGCACCCUCAGUCAUUCCCCCAGCCGUGGAGCGAGUGCAGCCAGUGAUGGCCCCUGACGUCCCAGCAACCCCAGUGGCCCCUACAGAGUCACAGACAGUGCUGGAUGCCCUGCAGCAGAGGCUGAACAAGUACCGCGAGGCGGGCAUCCAGGCCCGGAGUGGUGGGGACGAGCGCAAGGCUCGGAUGCAUGAGCGCAUUGCCAAGCAAUAUCAAGAUGCUAUUCGAGCACACCGAGCAGGACGGAAAGUCAACUUUGCUGAAUUGCCUGUUCCUCCAGGAUUUCCCCCCAUCCCUGGCCUGGAGUCCACUAUGGGUGUUGAGGAGGACGCAGUGGCAGCGACAUUGGCAGCUGCAGAGAAACUGGCCUCCGCAGAGGAUUCAGCCCCGGCUGAUAAAGACGAGGACGAGGGUGAGCCCCCAGCACAGGCCCCAGUGGCCAAGAAACCUGCACGGCCCACAGUCCCUUCAUCCCAGCGCCUGCCUGAGCCCAGGGCCUCAAGUUCUAAGGAGUCACCGAGUCCAUCUGUGCGGGAGCAGCUGGCACUGCUGGAGGCACGGAAACUGCAGUAUCAGCGGGCAGCCCUGCAGGCCAAGCGCAGCCAGGACCUGGAGCAGGCCAAAGCCUAUCUGCGGGUAGCCAAAUGUCUUGAGGCUCAGAUCAUCCAGGCCCGAUCUGGCAGACCUAUUGAUCUGUCCAAGAGGAGUAAUCUGACUCUUGGGGCCCGAGGGGCCUUGUGACCUGGGUAGGUGCCUUCGCCCUUGACGGAUGAGGAGGGCGACUUCAUCCUCAUCCACCAUGAGGACCUGCGACUCUCCCAGAAGGCGGAGGAGGUGUAUGCCCAGCUGCAAAAAAUGCUUCUGGAGCAACAAGAGAAGUGCCUGCUGUUCUCCAAGCAGUUCAUGCACCAGGGCAACGUGGCUGAGACCACCCGAUUUGAGAAGCUUGCUCAGGACCGCAAGAAACAGCUGGAGAUCCUGCAGCUGGCCCAGGCUCAGGGCCUCGACCCUCCCACCCACCACUUUGAGUUGAAGACAUUCCAGACUGUGAGGAUCUUCUCAGAACUCAACAGCACAGAAAUGCAUCUGAUCAUUGUCCGGGGAAUGAACCUCCCAGCCCCUCCAGGGGUGACUCCCGAUGACCUGGAUGCUUUUGUGCGGUUUGAGUUUCACUACCCUAACUCGGACCAGGCUCAAAAAAGCAAAACAGCUGUGGUGAAGAACACAAACUCUCCAGAAUUUGAUCAACUCUUCAAACUAAACAUCAACCGAAACCACCGGGGCUUCAAGAGAGUGAUCCAGAGCAAAGGCAUCAAGUUUGAGAUCUUCCACAAAGGGUCCUUCUUCAGAAGCGACAAGCUGGUUGGCACAGCACACCUGAAACUGGAGCGCCUGGAGAAUGAGUGUGAAAUCAGAGAAAUUGUGGAGGUCCUGGAUGGAAGGAAGCCCACCGGGGGGAAGCUGGAGGUGAAGGUGAGGCUGCGGGAGCCUCUGAGUGGCCAGGAUGUGCAGAUGGUCACUGAGAACUGGCUGGUUCUGGAGCCCAGGGGCUUGUGAGGUGGGCAGCUCUCUGGGCCUUCAGAACCUUUGCCCCCUCCUUUUACUCAACUAACUACUCAACUUAUAUCUGGAGAGAAAACCUAGGAGUUUCUCAUCUAUGAGAAAGACCUACCAUGCUGGGUAGGGCUUAUGGGCUGAGUUUCUGAUGUUCCUCAGUAGAACUGGGAAGAGAAGGUAACCUUCCAAGGUUUAACUAUCUAUCUAUCUUCAGGAAACCCUUUCUAAAAUCUUUGUGUUUUCACUGCAGUUUAGACUGAUUUCUUGUGCUUUGCACCCCUGUGUAGCCGAUGGCCAGCACCAGGAGAGGAGUCAGGCCGCGACUGUGCAGGAGUUGACUUUCCCAGCUUUGCUGGCUUCAGAAGCCUUUGUACAUAAGAGAUGCUGCUACCCAAGCACCAAAGACCUGUUAAGCAUGUGCA